rnacentral:rRNA from 1 species
UUCGCAAUGCCCGAAAGGGUGACGAAGCGACGCCGCGUGCGGGAAGAAGGCCUUCGGGUUGUAAACCGCUGUCGGGAGUUAAGAAAUGUAAGGAUGUUAAUAGCAUCUUUGCUUGACUAAGGCUCCGGAGGAAGCCACGGCUAACUCUGUGCCAGCAGCCGCGGUAAUACAGAGGCGGCAAGCGUUGUUCGGAAUUAUUGGGCGUAAAGAGCACGUAGGCGGCUAUGUAAGUCGGUUGUGAAAGCCUUCCGCUCAACGGGAGAACGGCAUCCGAUACUGCAUGGCUUGAGUGCGGGAGGGGAGAGUGGAACUUCUGGUGGAGCGGUGAAAUGCGUAGAUAUCAGAAGGAACGCCGGCGGCGAAAGCGGCUCUCUGGCCCAUAACUGACGCUGAGUGUGCGAAAGCUAGGGGAGCAAACGGGAUUAGAUACCCCGGUAGUCCUAGCCGUAAACGAUGGGCACUAAGUAGAGGGGUUUUAAUCG